ensembl:rRNA 5S_rRNA 5S ribosomal RNA
AUCUGCCACCCAUUACUUUUUUUUUUUCUCUGAUCUCAGAAGUUAAGUAGGGUCGGGCCUGGUUAGUACUUGGAUGAGAGACCGCCUGGAAAUACUAGGUGCUGUAGAUU